rnacentral:rRNA from 1 species
GAUGAACGCUGGCGGCGUGCCUAAUACAUGCAAGUCGAGCGGACAGACGAGGAGCUUGCUCCUCUGACGUUAGCGACGGACGGGUGAGUAACACGUGAAUAACCUUCCUCUAAGACUUGGAUCACUUCGGCAAACCGGAGCUCAUAACGGAUAAUAUAUUGAACCGCAUGGUUCAAUAGUGUAAUCGGGUUAUGAUGUGACUGAUACAUGUAUCCUCGCCGCAUUAGUAAGUUGGUAAGGUAACGGCUUAGCAAGGCGGCGAUGCGUAGCCGACCUGAGAGGGUGAUCGGCCACACUGGAGCUGAGACACGGUGCAGAAUCCGACGGGAGGCAGCGGUAGGGAAUCUUCCGCAAGGAGCGGAAGCCUGAAGGAGAAACGCCGCGUGAGUGAGGAAGGUCUUCGGCUCGUAAAACUCUGUUAUUAUGGAAGAACAAAUGUGUAAGUAACGAUGCACGUCUUGACGGUACCUAAUCAGAAAGCCACGGCUAACUACGUG